rnacentral:rRNA from 1 species
AUGAAGUCGGAAUUGCUAGUAAUGGCAGGUCAGCAUACUGCCGUGAAUACGUUCCCGGGCCUUGUACACACCGCCCGUCACACCAUGAGAGUUGGAGAUACCCGAAGCCUGUGAGCUAACUUUUAGAGGCAGCAGUCGAAGGUAGAAUCAAUGAUUGGGGUGAAGUCGUAACAAGGUACC